GGCCCGAUGGCGCAAUGGUAGCGCGUCAGAUUCCAGUUCACAUGAAUCUAGAAACCUGAAGGUUGGGUGUUCAAAUCACUCUCGGGUCA